UGGGGAAUAUUGCACAAUGGGCGGAAGCCUGAUGCAGCGACGCCGCGUGGGGGAUGAAGGCCUUCGGGUUGUAAACUCCUUUCGACAGGGACGAAGCUUUUGUGACGGUACCUGUAUAAGAAGCACCGGCUAACUACGUGCCAGCAGCCGCGGUAAUACGUAGGGUGCGAGCGUUGUCCGGAAUUACUGGGCGUAAAGAGCUCGUAGGUGGUUUGUCGCGUCGUCUGUGAAAUUCCGGGGCUUAACUCCGGGCGUGCAGGCGAUGCGGGCUGACUUGAGUGCUGUAGGGGAGACUGGAAUUCCUGGUGUAGCGGUGAAAUGCGCAGAUAUCAGGAGGAACACCGAUGGCGAAGGCAGGUCUCUGGGCAGUAACUGACGCUGAGGAGCGAAAGCAUGGGUAGCGAACAGGAUUAGAUACCCUGGUAGUCCAUGCCGUAAACGGUGGGCGCUAGGUGUAGGGGGCUUCCACGUCUUCUGUGCCGUAGCUAACGCAUUAAGCGCCCCGCCUGGGGAGUACGGCCGCAAGGCUA
rnacentral:rRNA from 1 species